GGGGAUUUAGCUCAGUGGUAGAGUGCUUGCCUCGCAAGCACAAGGCCCUGGGUUCGGUCCCCAGCUCUG
rnacentral:tRNA from 1 species